AUUGAACGCUGGCGGCAGGCCUAACACAUGCAAGUCGAGCGGUAGAGAGAAGCUUGCUUCUCUUGAGAGCGGCGGACGGGUGAGUAAUGCCUAGGAAUCUGCCUGGUAGUGGGGGAUAACGUUCGGAAACGGACGCUAAUACCGCAUACGUCCUACGGGAAAAAGCAGGGGACCUUCGGGCCUUGCGCUAUCAGAUGAGCCUAGGUCGGAUUAGCUAGUUGGUGAGGUAAUGGCUCACCAAGGCGACGAUCCGUAACUGGUCUGAGAGGAUGAUCAGUCACACUGGAACUGAGACACGGUCCAGACUCCUACGGGAGGCAGCAGUGGGGAAUAUUGGACAAUGGGCGAAAGCCUGAUCCAGCCAUGCCGCGUGUGUGAAGAAGGUCUUCGGAUUGUAAAGCACUUUAAGUUGGGAGGAAGGGCAUUAACCUAAUACGUUAGUGUUUUGACGUUACCGACAGAAUAAGCACCGGCUAACUCUGUGC
rnacentral:rRNA from 1 species